UGGGGAAUAUUGGACAAUGGGGGCAACCCUGAUCCAGCAAUGCCGCGUGUGUGAAGAAGGCCUGAGGGUUGUAAAGCACUUUCAGUGGGGAGGAGGGUAUUUAGGUUAAGAGCUAGGAUACUGGACGUUACCCACAGAAGAAGCACCGGCUAACUCCGUGCCAGCAGCCGCGGUAAUACGGAGGGUGCGAGCGUUAAUCGGAAUUACUGGGCGUAAAGAGUGCGUAGGUGGUUUGAUAAGUCAUUUGUAAAAGCCCUGGGCUUAACCUGGGAGUGCCAGAUGAUACUGUUAGACUUGAGUAUAGGAGAGGGUAGUGGAAUUUCCGGUGUAGCGGUGAAAUGCGUAGAGAUCGGAAGGAACACCAGUGGCGAAGGCGGCUACCUGGCCUGAUACUGACACUGAGGCACGAAAGCGUGGGGAGCAAACA
rnacentral:rRNA from 1 species